AUAGCAGUGAGUGCACGCAGCUGGAUUGCACGACCUGCAGGAGCUGCUGGGACUCGGUCUGCUUGUCACGUUACAGCCAUUCUCCGGGCGAUUUAUUCAGCUGAGUCAGGAAAAGCCGCUGCCUGCUGCUUCUAAGAAACUCUCUGCACCUCAGGAGAGACAGCGCUAAUUAACACAGGUCUAAAUUAGAGCAGAACUAAGGCUAGUGCUUGGAAAACGUGAGCAUAAAACCAGGAGGGCUGUGUGCAACCUGCUGAGCUGCCUACAGGUGCCUGAGCUUCAGGCUGUGCUUGGAGCUGGUGGCAGUGCUGCUCCAUGUCGUGCAGGCUCAGUGGGAGCUGCAAAGGCCCUUGCUGCCCUUCUCUGCAAUGCUAAGUGAAACUGGUCUCAGUCGGUCUCGGUCUCAGAACGAGCCCUUAUGAAAGAUGACUGUUGUGUUUCCAUCUGGAGCAGCUGAGCAGCCUGACGUAUGCCUCUGGAAGUCAGUAGAGAGAAAGCCCUGUGCACAUUCACCCCUAACUGCAUCCUGCCCUCCCAGUUUCAAUGGAGCAGUACCAACCCUGCAAAAAGCCAACCCACAGACUCCAAACUGAGGCUGAGAGGAGGAAGAUGAGCGGUUCCCUCAGAGCAGCUGAUGCUGCAGGGGAGCUGCAGGAGUGAUGCACGAAUCUCACAUUGAAAUUUAAGUUCUGGAUCUCAAAAAUAAUAGGGUUCUUCCACUCUGCAAGGACGGCUCAGUGCCUGGGGUUGCUGUGAUGUCAUUCCUUUUGGGAACCUUUUUGGGUGAAGUCAGUGCAGGUGACCUCCACUUCCAUCAGAAUACCACUGCUGUGAUCCUGGGCUGCUGGAUUCUCAAUUGCUCGUAGCAGUUUCCCUGUCUGUCCAUCCACAGUGCUCCGUCAGUGUGCUGAGUUACAUCUGAGUGUUGUAAUGCAGCUGAGCCGAAUAAUCCCUGCGGAUAGGAAGAGGAGAUGGAUGCAUUCUCCUCAGGAAGAAGAGUCCAAGAGGAUGAUAGCAACGAUCCAGCUGGACCUGCAAGUCAACACCAUUCCCGGAUUUAGCCGAGAACUUUGGCAGUUUUUGAGUUGCUUGGGAUUUUGCCCUGGAUCCUCAGUGUCAGGAAUGGCUGCUGCCCAGAUUUGCAAGGUGUGGUACAGCCACUGCUGCUGAUGCCAAUAGUCAAGGAGAGGGGAAUGAAACCUGCUGAGACUUGGGAAUGAAACAAAUCAGCAUUAAUUAAAAGCAAAUGCUAUCUGUUGACUAAGAGGUUCCAAAGCAGAUGUUUGUCAAAAUCGCCAGGAGAUGGGUCAUCUGAAAGCAGAGGUAAUAAAUAAUGAGAACGAUGUUUCUAGUCAUUUCAUGUUUUCUCAGGUCAAAACCAGGUGUCAGUCAGGGCUGGAAGUAUCACAGAGUGAAACACAUUGUGUUGUUCCACUGCAGGGAGCACAGCCAUCUCUGUGUUUGUGACCCAUGUGCUCAAAGCACUGUGCACCUAUGGACCCGUGGCAGCAUUACAUGCACAGCUGGCAGCGUGCUGGGCAGGCCCUCACAUCACUCCUACUCCAUCAAAUGGCUCUCUGCAAGUUUAUGCUCAGGUGGAUGCAUGUUGGAAUGGCAUUGGCACUUCUGUGGCUCUCCAUCCCUUUCUGGCAGCAGCACGGAGGAAUUCGGGCAGCUCGCUCUGUUCUGUCCUGGGAUACAUCAAAAGAUGAAGAAACGUCCAGCUGUGAUGCAAACCAGCUUUUCCAGGAGGUGGAAGAGCUGCUCCCUGCUGUAAUAAUAAGAUAAUACCACCACAGAGAUCAAUUCCUGUGCUGGGUGGUGCUCAGAUGGUAUCAAGGACACACGGUGCUCAGAAAUGAGCAAAACCAGAAGAAGAUGGUGGAAAAAAGUAAGGAAAUUGUGGAACUGGAAAGCUAUGUUCCCCUUAAGGAGCACUUCACAGAACAGGUAGUUGCUGUCAAAAUGCUUUAAGCUUCACCAACACAAAUUCCAUGUUGUUGCUGGUUUCAUAAUACAUUGCUCAGUGAAAACAUAAACGAGCUGAUUUGAGAAAUAUUUCAUCCACAUGAAAGACAGUUUGGUAAACAAAAACACAAGUGAAUAUUUUAUUAAUGCUUUUGAUAAAGAUGUGAACGCGGAGUGAUAUCGUGCAGUGAAUGAAUCAACUUAUUAAAAAAUUAAGAGGGAAGGAGGAAUGUGGGUCAAUUUUAUCAACGCAGGAACAGCUUCAGUCACGUUUGUCUCACAGAGAUGAGAUUUCAUUUUUGAACUGUCGUGAUCAUAAACAUUCCCGAGGAGCACAAACUCACUUUCAUUUCCUCUCACGCUGCUUCGUAUUGGCUGAAAGCUCACAGCCCUCUGAAGCUGAGCAUCCCUUUGUAUUCACAGAUGUCUCAGCUGGGGGUGCACUGCUGUCCUGCCAGUGCUGGGCAGUGAGAUUUGUGCCAUGCAUGCAGUGUGUGCUGUGUCAGCACGGUGCUCGAUGUACAACACAAGGAAUGGUCCCAUUUGCAACGCUGAUCCAUCCAGCCCAGGGCUGGGAGUAGCAGUGCAUGCUCAGAGCUGCGCCUCCUCCUCCAGCACUGCAUUCCACGUCAUCCAUCCCCACUGUGCCACAGCGUUACAUCAACAGGCGACUGAAAUCACACUUGAAAAUUAAUUUCCCACAGAGGUUUGGCCAACAGCUGACAGGUGACAGAUUGCUCUGUUGGUUGUGCACGUAUUGGUUCUGCCCUAACGUGAAAUGGAGGUCUUGGAGCAAUGUCUUUUUGGUUUUCUUUCCUUUUAUUAAACCUGUAAUUCCACCGUGUCAAAAAUUACAGCCAUCGGUCGGUGCUGCACAGAAUCCUCUGUGCUCAUGGUGAGCCCACGGCUCCAGGACCAGCAGGAUUGUGUUCCACUCAUUAACUGGGCAGGAAGAUCUGAUGAGCUCAGGGUCCAACCUGUGCAUCUCUGCUGCUCCUGGGAUGGAGCCUGGAUGUCUGCAUGGCAUUGCACAGGGACACGCAGGCACCGCUGCUGAGAGCAAAGUUAGCUCUGAAAGAAAGGACAAAGAGAUUCAGUUCCAUCCUCUUCUUUCUUAUCUAAAACAAAACAGGAGAAAAAAACAGUGUUAGAAUGAAACAGGCUCCUUAAAUUGUGCUCCAACCUGACCCUGAGAGAUUCACUCAUUGCCCUGAGCUCUGUGCUGGGACUCAGAAGACAGCCCCACGGAUGUGGCAUUAGUGGGAGCAACGGCAGAGUGAGGGCUGUUGUUGUGCCAGGCCUGCAGAGAGAACAGACAGCUUGGCUGAGAGCAGAUCUUUCUCAGAGGCCCAGCUCCAGCUGCCCAUGGAAGCCAAAGAAGUCUGUGCGAGAUGUCAGUAUUUGAGGAAUUGCCAUUGCAGAGAUGAGGGUGCCUGGUGAACACCAGCAUCCCUUGUUCUGCGCGGCACAGCAGGGGGAGAGUUAACGUGACCUAGAAGCAAAAACGAAGGCUUUCCUUUUUCAUUCUUUGGCAUGCGUGUUUCUUGCUUCUCUGAGUAUUUGCAUGACCAUAAAUUCAGAGCUCUGGAGGAUAUUUUCAGCCAAAGACUACAUGUGCAGGAUACCAUAAUGUAAACUGCAUAUGUUGUGAGAAGUUGUUAAAUGGAACCAGCAGAUGAUAAUGUGCCCAGCAUUGCUGCUAACAUCACUCGAUUUCCUCUCACCAUAGGUAAAACAAGCCCUUUUCCCAAUCAAUUCCAAUCCUCAGACAGGCCCAUAAAUUAACAUGAGGAAGAGAAUGUUUUUGGCUACCAGACCUCCACUGGAGACCCAGGAGUUGGCCCCUGCUUUCAAGAGCAGCUCUGGUUCUGAGGAGAUGCAGACAAAUGGCCUUCGUCUGCCAUUUCCCAUCUCUGUGCUCUGCCUUGCAGGCAAUGACACGUGUUGGAAAAAUUCUGGCACAGCCCAGGACAUCUGCCAUCUUCCCGGCCUCUUUCCCACUCCUUUUCCAGAGUGGCUGAUCCCCUUUCUGUGUGGGUUUUAGGGCUAAUGGGAGCUGCAGCGUUUCCUCCUGGCUUGAGGACGUGCAGCUGUUGAAAUCACACAGGGAAAGCAGCAAAACUCCAUCAGCUCCAUCAAGAAUCAGGGCUGGAGUGGACAGGACACUGAUGUUCUCCCUGGCAAAACAUCUGGAAGUCCUAUGGGGUUGUUUUUGUUCUUGUUUGGAAGUCUGAAAUGUGGAUCAGGCAAAGAUUACUGUGAGAUUUUCUUAUGGAGCAGCAAUGCAAUAUCGUAACGCUCUUGGUGAUCUCAGCAUUGCAUUCUGUGCCUUUUGGUGUAGAAGGAGCAAAGGGU